rnacentral:rRNA from 1 species
CGCCUCUUGAUCAAACAUAAGAGGUCUAGCCUGCCCAGUGACAAAAUUCAACGGCCGCGGUAUACUAACCGUGCGAAGGUAGCAUAAUCACUUGUUCUUUAAAUAGGGACUCGUAUCAACGGCAUCACGAGGGCUAUACUGUCUCCUUUAUCUAAUCAGUGAAACUGAUCCCCCCGUGAAGAAGCGGGGAUAUAAUCAUAAGACGAGAAGACCCCAUGGAGCUUUAAACCCAACACGCACCUCUUCACCCGAAUAUCAAUUUAACCAAAGAGGCCUGUGCAUUGGUUUUAGGCUGGGGGGGCCACGGAGUAAAAUUAAACCUCCAUAACAAAUGGGCUAAUACCCUUAUCCACGAUAUUACAAAUCUAAGAAUCACUAAAAUGAUGUUUAAUGACCCGAUAAUUCGAUCAAUGAACCAAGUUACCCUGGGGAUAACAGCGCAAUCCACUUCAAGAGCUCCUAUCGACAAGUGGGUUUACGACCUCGAUGUUGGAUCAGGGUAUCCUAGUGGUGCAACCGCUACUAAUGGUUCGUUUGUUCAACGAUUAAAACCC